rnacentral:rRNA from 1 species
UACGGGGGGGGCAAGCGUUGUUCGGAAUUACUGGGCGUAAAGGGCUCGUAGGCGGCCAACUAAGUCAGACGUGAAAUCCCUCGGCUUAACCGGGGAACUGCAUCUGAUACUGGAUGGCUUGAGUUCGGGAGAGGGAUGUGGAAUUCCAGGUGUAGCGGUGAAAUGCGUAGAUAUCUGGAGGAACACCGGUGGCGAAGGCGGCAUCCUGGACCGACACUGACGCUGAGGAGCGAAAGCCAGGG